AGGUCUUCAUUUGGAGGCUAUCCC
rnacentral:miRNA from 9 species